GUGGGGAAUUUUGGACAAUGGGCGCAAGCCUGAUCCAGCAAUGCCGCGUGCAGGAAGAAGGCCUUCGGGUUGUAAACUGCUUUUGUACGGAACGAAACGGCUCUGGUUAAUACCCGGGGCUAAUGACGGUACCGUAAGAAUAAGCACCGGCUAACUACGUGCCAGCAGCCGCGGUAAUACGUAGGGUGCAAGCGUUAAUCGGAAUUACUGUGCGUAAAGCGUGCGCAGGCGGUUUUGUAAGACAGGCGUGAAAUCCCCGGGCUCGACCUGGGAAUGGCGCUUGUGACUGCAAAGCUGGAGUGCGGCAGAGGGGGAUGGAAUUCCGCGUGUAGCAGUGAAAUGCGUAGAUAUUGGAAGGAACACCAGUGGCGUAAGCGGCUAUCUGGACGAGUAUUGACGCUGAGGCACGAAAGCGUGGGGAUCAAACAGGAUUAGAUACCCGUGUAGUCC
rnacentral:rRNA from 1 species